rnacentral:rRNA from 1 species
AGGAUGAACGCUGGCGGCGUGCUUAACACAUGCAAGUCGAACGGUGAAGUGAGGAGCUUGCUCUUUGCGGAUCAGUGGCGAACGGGUGAGUAACACGUGGGCAACCUGCCCCUCACACUGGGAUAACCUCGGGAAACCGGGGCUAAUACCGGAUACGACCUCGAGCGGCAUCUCUUGAGGUGGAAAGCUCCGACGGUGAGGGAUGGGCCCGCGGCCUAUCAGCUUGUUGGUGGGGUAAUGGCCUACCAAGGCGACGACGGGUA